GAUGAACGCUGGCGGCGUGCCUAAUACAUGCAAGUCGAGCGAACAGACGAGGAGCUUGCUCCUCUGACGUUAGCGGCGGACGGGUGAGUAACACGUGGAUAACCUACCUAUAAGACUGGGAUAACUUCGGGAAACCGGAGCUAAUACCGGAUAAUAUAUUGAACCGCAUGGUUCAAUAGUGAAAGACGGUUUUGCUGUCACUUAUAGAUGUAUCCGCGCCGCAUUAGCUAGUUGGUAAGGUAACAGCUUACCAAGGCAACGAUGCGUAGCCGACCUGAGAGGGUGAUCGGCCACACUGGAACUGAGACACGGUCCAGACUCCUACGGGAGGCAGCAGUAGGGAAUCUUCCGCAAUGGGCGAAAGCCUGACGGAGCAACGCCGCGUGAGUGAUGAAGGUCUUCGGAUCGUAAAACUCUGUUAUUAGGGAAGAACAAAUGUGUAAGUAACUAUGCACGUCUUGACGGUACCUAAACAGAAAGCCACGGCUAACUACGUG
rnacentral:rRNA from 1 species